CAGUAGCGCGGUAACACGUAGGGUGCAAGCGUUAAUCGGAAUUACUGGGCGUAAAGCGUGCGCAGGCGGUUAUAUAAGACAGAUGUGAAAUCCCCGGGCUCAACCUGGGAACUGCAUUUGUGACUGUAUAGCUAGAGUACGGCAGAGGGGGAUGGAAUUCCGCGUGUAGCAGUGAAAUGCGUAGAUAUGCGGAGGAACACCGAUGGCGAAGGCAAUCCCCUGGGCCUGUACUGACGCUCAUGCACGAAAGCGUGGGGAGCAAACAGGAUUAGAUACCCUCGUAGUCCCUGUCUCUUAUACA
rnacentral:rRNA from 1 species